rnacentral:rRNA from 1 species
GACGAACGCUGGCGGCGUGCUUAACACAUGCAAGUCGAACGGUGAAGCGCCUUCCUUUUUGGUGGGUGUGGAUGAGUGGCGAACGGGUGAGUAACACGUGAGUAACCUGCCCCCUUCUUCUGGAUAACCGCAUGAAAGUGUGGCUAAUACGGGAUAUUCUGGGUCUGUCGCAUGAUGGGUCUGGGAAAGAUAUUGUUUCGGUGGGGGAUGGGCUCGCGGCCUAUCAGCUUGUUGGUGGGGUGAUGGCCUACCAAGGCGGUGACGGGUAGCCGGCCUGAGAGGGUGGACGGUCACACUGGGGCUGAGACACGGCCCAGACUCCUACGGGAGGCAGCAGUGGAGAAUAUUGCACAAUGGGCGCAAGCCUGAUGCAGCGACGCCGCGUGAGGGAUGGAGGCCUUCGGGUUGUGAACCUCUUUCGCCAGUGAAGCAGGCCUGCCUCGUUUGUGGGUGGGUUGACGGUAGCUGGAUAAGAAGCGCCGGCUAACUACGUG